GGAGCCCGCACUGCCCGAAUGUGGUGGUGGGGUGCUCAGAUGGCGGAGACACUGGCAAGUUUUGCCCUGGCAACGGCCGGCGGCGCCUAGUACAGCCACUCUUGGGUGGUGGGAACGGUGGCUUCUGGUGCGGCUGGGGGGAGAUGUAGGCACCCUGUUGGGUCCUGAAGGAACAACCAUUGGGUUGUUGUUUCAGAGACUUGUCCAGCCUCCUUGUGGGGGCUGGAAGUCUGCCAGGCAUGGCCUGGCCUCACAUACCGCCAACUGUUGUUGGGUUUGGUGUGGGGCGGAUCGGGUUGUGGGUUGGU
rnacentral:misc_RNA from 1 species